AGAUUGAACGCUGGCGGAAUGCCUUACACAUGCAAGUCGAACGGCAGCACGGGAGCAAUCCUGGUGGCGAGUGGCGAACGGGUGAGUAAUACAUCGGAACGUGCCCAAUCGUGGGGGAUAACGUAGCGAAAGCUACGCUAAUACCGCAUACGAUCUACGGAUGAAAGCAGGGGAUCGCAAGACCUUGCGCAAAUGGAGCGGCCGAUGGCAGAUUAGGUAGUUGGUGGGUAAAGGCUCACCAAGCCUUCGAUCUGUAGCUGGUCUGAGAGGACGACCGAGGCCACACUGGGACUGAGACACGGCCCAGACUCCUACGGGAGGCAGCAGUGGGAAUUUGGACAAUGGGCGCAAGCCUGAUCCAGCCAUUCCGCGUGCAGGAUGGAAGCUUCGGUUGUAACGUGUC
rnacentral:rRNA from 1 species